rnacentral:lncRNA from 1 species
GGAACCCGUGCGGCGGCGCUGGGAAGAGACUGUGCCCCUGCAGCUCCCCUGUCACCGGCUCCAAGGAGCGUCGGGCUCCCCCCGCCCAGCCCUGCAGCACCCAUCCGGCAACGCCAGACUCGGCGCAACGGGGGCAGCUGCGACUUUAAAUCUCUCAGAUCCGCGGCCUGAGGGCUGCCGCCACCGAGAAAUGGAGGCACAGAGCUGUGAACAAGAGACCACGGCUCGCCGAAAUGGCGGUGCCAGGAGCCUGAAAGGGAAUGCAGCCGGCGGGGUUGUCAAGGACAACAUUUGUUUUGGCGCAACCAGCGGUGCCGUCACCAAGAAACCGUCGACUCUGAGAAAAAAAGAGAAGUUCGGCUACCGAGAAACUCCGUGCAGCAAGUGCUGUGACAGCAAAACCGCCGGCUUCGCGCCGCUGGCGAAAGAGCCAACGGAAACGCCGGGUGCUGCGACCGCGAAGCCGGCACUAGAGGGCCUCGGAUGGAGAAAGCCCCGCACCGAGACGAGGAAACUGUGCACAGCACGACUAGCAGUUGACACAAACAGAAAAGUGUCUCGUCUGCUCUCUGGGAGAAAGCGUGGAUCAAAACCAGCAACUCAGUGGAGAGAACCCCGCAGCCACUGAAGAAGUUGCCCACGUGGCGGUGGGGCCAGAGAAACACCGCGAUUUCGACGACAGCCGUAGGGAUACCACAGAGAAACAUGCGCGGCCACAGAAGUACAUCCAGCUCCGCGCAAUCAGUGGUUCUGCGAUCCAGAAACCGCCAGCUGGGCUAGACUAGAAACUUCUAAAAAACUGUCGUCCCAUAGCAGCUUUCCUAACCACGACAGACAGUCGCCUUUAGAGAGCACCUAACGGUGCUGAGACCGGCCUGGGCCAGCAAAAGCGCAGAGCGGUGCCAGUGCCAAGAAACGCCCGACUUGGUGAAACCAACCUUGUGACCACCGAUUCCACUGGCUUCGCAGGACGCAACGGGCGAAGGCGCGGCGGAGAAACCGCAGGCUCCCUUCACCGAUUAUGCUGCGGGCUGGGGAUGGUGGGGGGCACCCGCGAAAUUGUGAAACCAGCGGCGCUGGGACCCAGCGAUCAGCUGCCCGUAGCAAAUGUCUGUGCAGUUGCAAAAGAUAAUUUUUGGCCGUGAGAAGGUUGCCGCCAGAGAGCGUCCGAUAACGCUGACAAAGGCGUGGCGUUGCCAGUGAGAAACAGCCGGCGCUGGGAAAGGAACGGUGCAGCGACCGACCAACUGCGCGCUCGGUGCCACCAAAGUGCUACUGGCUCUACCCACUCUGUCCCCCACGGGCUUAGGGAAGUCUGAUGUCUUUUUCUUUUCUUUUUUCCUCUGUCGCCUAGGCUGGUGCAGUGGUGUCAUCUUGGCUCAGUGCAGCCUCGACUUCCUGGGAUCCAGCGAUCCUCCCGCUUCAGCCUCUAGAGUAGCCGAGACCACAGGAUUUGGAAGAGGGCAGGAGAGAAAAAUGAACUGCAAGACUCCAGCACAAGAGGUGGGAUUGCUGGCAGAUGUCUGCUCCCUCUCCAAACCUAAUGAACAUCUCAAAGUGCCAUCCACUUUCCUAUACCCUUGAUCUGUGAAAUGGAUCACUGACGCUUUCUCUGUCUUUCCGGAAAUGCAAAACAGGUGAAUUUUCAAGCGCUUGAAUUGUCUCUCACACUUUUCAGUCAAGAGUGGGGCUAUAAACUCCUUCCUCAUAGGAAAUAAGGAACUGCCACUGCUUGGAAGUAAAACGUAUUUUUCCCAUAAGCUUUCACAUUUCCCAAAAAAAAUUAUACAUCCAGAUGUAAUCCCCCUAAGAGGCUUACAGACCCUACCAGGAGCGUUCCCACGCGAACGCAUCAUCUCCCAAUCGGAUCCUGAAAACACCAUGCAACCAAUUCCAUCCUUUUCUGGAUCAACCUGGGCAGAGGACAGGUGCAGAGGAGCCCAGAGAAGGGCCUUGACAAGUCAGGAGACCCAAUUUGGGGUCGCAAUUGUCACUCACUCCCCAGGCGUUUGCUUUGAUC